rnacentral:snoRNA from 1 species
CCACUUCUAGUGAUGAAGAACAGUCGGACGUAAAGAACUUUUAUUAUCUAAGAGCGUAGAAACUGUGGAUAUUUUCGUUGCCUUCCUUAGGAAUAUUU